rnacentral:hammerhead_ribozyme from 1 species
UCCCAGCUGAUGAAUCCCGAAUAGGACGAAAUGCGCGUCCUGGAU